UAUCCCCCGCCAGUCCCCUUUCCCUAGUUUUUGGAGGCCAAUUAGAAAGAGUCGAUGUUCCUCUUCAGUCCAUGGAACACCUGAAGCAACCAAAAAUCACAGCUAAGAAUCAAUAAUUUCGUUGUCAUAUUUCCAUCCCACUAGUGAAAGAGAGAAGUGACAAACCAUUCCAAGUCCUAUCCUAUUCUCUUUUUAA